GGCGGUAGGCUUAACACAUGCAAGUCGUGCGAGAAAGUACCUUCGGGUGCGAGUAGAGCGGCGGACGGGUGAGUAACGCGUAGGAAUCUACCUAGUAGAAGGGGAUAGCCCGGGGAAACUCGGAUUAAUACCGUAUACCUCCUCAGGGAGAAAGAGGGCUUAGCUUUGAUGCUCUCGCUAUUAGAUGAGCCUGCGUAAGAUUAGCUUGUUGGUGAGGUAAUGGCUCACCAAGGCGACGAUCUUUAGCUGGUCUGAGAGGACGAUCAGCCACAUUGGGACUGAGACACGGCCCAGACUCCUACGGGAGGCAGCAGUGGGGAAUAUUGGACAAUGGGCGCAAGCCUGAUCCAGCCAUACCGCGUGUGUGAAGAAGGCUUUCGGGUUGUAAAGCACUUUAAGUAAGGAGGAAAAGAUUGUAGUUAAUACCUGCAGUCCGUGACGUUACUUACAGAAUAAGGACCGGCUAAUUCCGUGCCAGCAGCCGCGGUAAUACGGAAGGUCCAAGCGUUAAUCGGAAUUACUGGGCGUAAAGCGCGCGUAGGUGGUUUUUUAAGUUGGAUGUGAAAGCCCUGGGCUCAACCUAGGAACUGCAUCCAAAACUAGAUGACUAGAGUACGAAAGAGGGAAGUAGAAUUCACAGUGUAGCGGUGGAAUGCGUAGAUAUUGUGAAGAAUACCAAUGGCGAAGGCAGCUUCCUGGUUCUGUACUGACACUGAGGUGCGAAAGCGUGGGUAGCGAACAGGAUUAGAUACCCUGGUAGUCCACGCCGUAAACGAUGACAACUAGCUGUUGGGAGACAAGAUCUCUCAGUGGCGCAGCUAACGCUUUAAGUUGUCCGCCUGGGGAGUACGGCCGCAAGGUUAAAACUAAAAGUGAAUGACG
rnacentral:rRNA from 1 species